rnacentral:rRNA from 1 species
GUCUACGGCCAUGCCACCCUGAAUAAGCCCGAUGUCUGAUCUUGGAAGCUAAGUAGGGUUGGGCCUGGUUAGUACUUAGAUGGGAGACCACCUAGGAAGACCAGGUGCUGUAGGCA